CCAAUAGCGUAUAUUAAAGUUGUUGCAGUUAAAAAGCUCGUAGUUGAAUUUCGGGGUUAGUAGGUUGGUCGUGCCACUGGUAUGUACUGGCUUCACUGAUUCCUCCUUCUUGAAGAACUGUAAUGUCAUUAAUUUGGUGUUGCAGGGAAACAGGACUGUUACUUUGAAAAAAUUAGAGUGUUUAAAGCAGGCUAACGCUUGAAUACAUUAGCAUGGAAUAAUGAGAUAGGACGUUUAAUUCUAUUUUGUUGGUUUCUAGGAUUGACGUAAUGAUUAAUAGGGAUAGUUGGGGGCAUUAGUAUUCAAUUGUCAGAGGUGAAAUUCUGGGAUUUAUUGAAGACUGACUACUGCGAAAGCAUUUGCCAAGGAUGUUUUCAUUAAUCAAGAACGAAAAUUAGGGGAUCGAAGACGGUCAGAUACCGUCGUAGUCUUAACCAUAAACUAUGCCGACUAGGGAUCGGAUGAUGUUAAUUUUUUAAUGACUCAUUCGGCGCCUUACG
rnacentral:rRNA from 1 species